CUGCCCUGCCCUGCCACAGCACACUCCUUCCAAAUUUGCCUUCCCAAAGUUUUCCUUCCUUGAUUCAUGUGUGUUUUAAACCAUCUCAGGAGUAGCACUGCUGACCAGGGAAGGGCAGUUCUUCAGCCAGGAUAAACUGCUGCAGCUCUGUUAAAAAGGCCACAGAUGAACAUCUUCUGAGGAGAAAAUUUCAUUUUCAUACUUUUAAGUGAGGAACUUUCUCUCACACAGCAUUUUUUUUUCUCCACAGCUGUUGCUGGGAUCUAUUUUUGAUUAAAAGUCACAGACCUUUACAUAACAACAGACAAAUCUCUACAAAAACUGUUGCCCAGGCCUCCCAUUCUGCACUGACCAUCCAGUCCAAAUAGCCUGCAUCUGCUGAGACUGCACCUCUAUCAAGGCCUGGUUAAGGCUUGUAGUGAUGUAAAUCAGAUCUCUCCUGAAACCACUGGACUGAACAAAAGCAGCAGAGAACCAGCUCAAAGACUCAGUGUGCAUCAGGAUAGUCUGUGGUAUGUUACACUCAUGUCUGACUUCAUAUCUCAUUAAAAUGAAGAAAAAGCUUCCAUUAAUUUUGCAUCAUUUCUUUAAAGAGUGAUGCACUGGACACACAGAUUAGAAAAAAGUCAAAGCUGGGUAACUGUAGGAAUAUUACACACAGUUUGAGGAUGGAAAUUAGUACAAGUGGCGGGCAUUUUUAAUUGCAUUUGCUUAGUUUGUAAAAACACUGCCUAAAUCCACCUCUGAAACCACAAUACCAAGAAUACAGAUUUCAUUCUCAUUUCUGCAAGAAUAAAACUGUGUCUUCAGCACUUUUGAGUUAUUCU
rnacentral:lncRNA from 1 species